GGAUGAUGUCUGCCCGGGAGGUGUGUGCAGUUAACUUUAUCAUCACCGGGUGAACAUUCAUUCGC
rnacentral:pre_miRNA from 1 species